CCCGCCCCCGACGCGCCACGCAGUUUCGGGGUCCCGGCGGGGGCGGGGGCGCGAGAGGCCCCCCCCAAGGGCCCAGACUCACCUGUGUGCGUUCGCAGGUGCGAUUUGAGGAGCUGUGAAAUAAAAGGAAGGUGGUCCCUGAUGCUGGGCCAGCAACCCCGUCGGAUGAAUCCCACAGCUAAGUUGGUCCUGCACCCUGACUGAGAGCCAGACAGGCAUCCUGGCCCAUGGGCCAUACCAAAUGAAAGGGAAAGGGGGUGCAUUCUGGGAUAUACCACUGGCUUCCCUCAUCACUGUACUGCAUAGUAACCCAGAGUCCAGAGAAAGGCUCAGGACCCUGUGUGGACAAAGCAGUCUCAGCAAAAUGCCUUACCAAGAGUCCUGACUCAGUAAACCUACAUUCUGAUGGGAUAAAAAGACAACAUGCUCUGUGACAAGUGUAGCACCAGCAGUCAGUGGGAGCAUAAGGCUGAGGGGGUCAGGUCAGGAGGCGGGUUGCUUUGGGGAAGAAAGCAACUGAAGCAAGAGAUUGAAGAAGUCAGACUUGUUAAGAAAAGUUAGCUAUGCUGGUAGAAGACAAAGACCAAGCUUAGUGAGGGUUAUGUGAGACUCAAAGCCCAUUCUGUGCAAAUGUUCUAGGGUGAGAAGGGCAACCCGGAGCUAGGGCCGCAAAUGUUCUCGGCUCUAAUGAGUACACAUCUCACAUUCAGUUUGGCUUCUAAACGUCCCGUAUUAUAAAAAAUGACUUGACUCCCGGCCAGAGGGGCCCAUGUGGAUCGGAAGGGAUGAAGGCACUAGCAGCUUCUCUGCCCGCUCCCAGGCCAGGGCACUUCCCAGUGAUAGAGACGGGUAGUAGGGGAUUCCAUAGGCUCAAAGACUGGGUUGCCCAGAGAGGCCAGGAUAUUUGUACAAACCUGGAUGCAGGGCAGUGAGAGGGGUCGGUAGGAAAGGAAUCUCUCCUGUGACCCGGGUGAGUCACCUCCGGUCUGACAGUGGCAACUGUAGUACCUUUUACGCGCCUGAUGGACAUUCUAAGCUCUCUGAGUACUCAAGUCUCUCGUUCCCAGUUAGAAGCAAAAAAAACAAAACAAAACAAAACAAAAAAAAACCUCUGCGAAGCAAAGUACCAGAAGGCCAAACCUGGCCAGACAGAUGGGGAGUGAGCCACCGCUACCUGAUCCCGCUGUGUGUCAACACUGAAAUCCGAGGAGGCACCGCUGCAAGAGGGAACUGCGUGCGACCUAACCCCAGGGCACCCCGUUCUGACUUAGGGAGGUCGAGGCGCGCGGGGACGGGAAGGAACAGUUGGGAGCAGCGGAAAGGUCAGGGGCCGGCAGGGCGGGAUACGAGCCCCCAGCCACUUACCAGCGAGGCAGGAGCCUCCUAGCCAGCUCCACCGUCGGCCGCUUCCGGGCAAGCGCCAUGCCACUUCCGCCCGACCUCACAUUUGACGCAAGUUCCCGAGGUCGUCUCCACCCAGGGCCGAAGCACCGCCCCCCUCCCGCCCUCCUUAAAGGGGUCACACAAUGCCAGGGGUCUUCGGCUAGGUAAAGCCUGGUGGAAUCAAGUUGCUCCACCAAGUACUUACCCCACCACAGCCUGGUCCCAACACAAACUAAGCCGCCGCCCAACCAAGGGAUAGACGACACGUUAUUUGCCCCAGGAGUUCGCAGGAGACAUUCUGGGUCUGGAGGUGAGCGUGGACUGCAGCUGAGGUCCAGAGAGAACCCGGACUUCAAGGGUAACUCAAGCGAACGGAGGUCAAAGGCCCUGAGGCUUGUUGCAGAAACCCAGCCCCAGGUGGCCCCUUUUCCUGGGAGAGACCCCGUAAGGCCCUCAGACCUCCCACUGCCCUACACCAGGGCUUCAGCCUUCACAUUGGCAAAGGAAGUGACCUAGCCCGGCCCCUCAAGACCCUGGAAAGCUGUUAGCCCUCUGUGCAGUUCAUCUUCCAGGACAGGAGGAACAGGAAGAGCAGCCUUGUGAUUUCAAGCGUCCUUAUCUACUAUGAGAGCGAUUGCGCCACGUCCUUAUCCAUCACGGGAGUUGAAGAGUGCCUCAAAGCAGGACAAGCACAGACCCACUGCGGCCACUUGCCCCCCAGGGUUGUCUUUAAGAGACAUUCUCCCAGAAGGCGCACCAAAUCUGGGCAGGGAAGGUCCUGGGUUCGAAUGCUGCCAAUACCGCCACCACCACACCCAGGCAACCAAUAGCCACAAGGUGCUCUGGUUGGGACCUUAUCCCCUCUUCCACGAACGAGAGUGACA